rnacentral:lncRNA from 1 species
GUGUAACAUAUCUAAUUCUUUUGCCCCUGUCUCCUUGGAUGUCAGGCUCCUCCUGCCCUCCUUGGCCCCUCCCUGUUGGGUGUACAUCCUUCCAGACUGUUUUCCAUGCACUUCGGUGCCAGGAUGAUUAUCAAGAUGCCACUUUCUUUGCAUCCUUGUAUCCUUCCUCCAGAUAUACAAAGGGCGUGUCUCCCGCCUGGCUUCCAUCGCAGUCCCUUCAUUACCCUGCAUGACACCACGGUACCUUGAGCAGACCAAG